CAUCAUUAAAAUAUAUAUAGAACAAUAUCAAAUUUAAUAGCUAAAAUCAGUAAAAUGUACCAGUAAGAUUUUCAUAACUUGAGUCAAUUUAUCAAAAGAUCAUGUCGUUAGGUGUGGGAGAAAAUAUAUGGUCGGGCCUGCCAGUUCUAAGAUCAUAUAAUGAUUGAUUUUUACAAUAGGAACAAGUUUAUUACAUGGAUGUGUCACAUUUUUUCAUUUUCCGUAAUAGAUACGUCGCUGCAAAAAAGAUGGCAAUGUUUGUUUCUGAAGUCCUAAGAUUAUAGCAGCAGUCUCCCCAUAUAUGGCGGACGCAUAUUCCAAAAUCGGCCCUGAUUUUAGUUUUUAGAUACAAUUAAGUCGCUGACCUUUUGUUUUCAAGUAUAUAGCUAGUUAUAAUAAAAUCUCAGUCAAUUACAGUCAACAUGCAUAAAUGAUGCCGGGGUUAUCGAUAAUUAUUUUUAUAACAACUUGCUUAUUUAAGACACG